CUGAAAGGUGCGUUAACAACUGUGAUGACGCUACAGUGGCUGUGGCACUUGCGAUGUCUCUUCCUGAAGUCAACAGACUCGUCCUCUCGUAUCUCAUUAGAUUUUUACAGAUUUUCUCACUCCCUCAUAUGUGCGUUAUAACAAAGAUGGACGUAAAUAACUUGGCCAUGGUUUGGGCGCCAAACUGCCUUCGUUGUCCCUCUGACGAUCCCAAGGAAAUUUUUGAAAAUACGCGAAAAGAGAUGACUUUUAUGAGAACUCUUAUUCGGCAUCUUGACGCAACUUUCAUGGAAGGAGUGCGUUAACACACAAAAACAACAGUUCGUAGUGCCAGUCCUUGACUGUGGGACACCGAGACCAAGAUCACACGUGACAACGAAAAGUCUGACAACUGAAUGAGCCUGCGGCUUUAUUUCGCAACGUUGCUAUGCAACGCAAGGUAUUGGAAUCCGACCUCGCGUCAGGGUGUUCAAUAGCGUCCGUCAAGAAGAAACGGAACUCCUCGAAUGCCCUUACUGAGAUUUACCAGAACUCAUGGCUCGAUUGUUCGACUUGUCAAACUGGUGCUCAGCAUUGAUACGAUUCGUCUGGCUGGGAAGUUUGCGCAUGAAAAUUUUGUUGACUCAAUUGAACUCAAAUUCAAAGGCAGAAAAGGUCAAAAUUUACCUAGGUCCGUUAGCUAAAAAAACACAACAGAAAACAAUAAAACAAAAAUGAAAAGAAAAUAAGAAGGAUCUACAGAACUGCAAACUAAAGAACACACAGCAAGAGGUUAUCUUUCCAUUAAGCAAAUUGAAGUGUCUAAAUUAUAGCAAACGUAAUCUUCUGUUGUUAGUCGAAAACAUCGCGGUAGCUUAUGUGAAGAGGCGAAGUAAGCAUUGUAUAUAUCAAUAAAACUCUAAGUAUUGUAUAAGAUUA